rnacentral:rRNA from 1 species
GGUGAAAAGCACCCCGGAAGGGGAGUGAAAUAGAACCUGAAACCGUGUGCUUACAAGUAGUCAGAGCCCGUUAAUGGGUGAUGGCGUGCCUUUUGUAGAAUGAACCGGCGAGUUACGAUUUGAUGCAAGGUUAAGCAGUAAAUGUGGAGCCGUAGCGAAAGCGAGUCUGAAUAGGGCGUUUAGUAUUUGGUCGUAGACCCGAAACCAGGUGAUCUACCCUUGGUCAGGUUGAAGUUCAGGUAACACUGAAUGGAGGACCGAACCGACUUACGUUGAAAAGUGAGCGGAUGAACUGAGGGUAGCGGAGAAAUUCCAAUCGAACCUGGAGAUAGCUGGUUCUCUCCGAAAUAGCUUUAGGGCUAGCCUCAAGUGAUGAUUAUUGGAGGUAGAGCACUGUUUGGACGAGGGGCCCCUCUCGGGUUACCGAAUUCAGACAAACUCCGAAUGCCAAUUAAUUUAACUUGGGAGUCAGAACAUGGGUGAUAAGGUCCGUGUUCGAAAGGGAAACAGCCCAGACCACCAGCUAAGGUCCCAAAAUAUAUGUUAAGUGGAAAAGGAUGUGGCGUUGCCCAGACAACUAGGAUGUUGGCUUAGAAGCAGCCAUCAUUUAAAGAGUGCGUAAUAGCUCAC